rnacentral:rRNA from 1 species
GCGUGAGGGAAGACUGCCCUAUGGGUUGUAAACCUCUUUUAUAAGGGAAGAAUAAGUUCUACGUGUAGAAUGAUGCCUGUACCUUAUGAAUAAGCAUCGGCUAACUCCGUGCCAGCAGCCGCGGUAAUACGGAGGAUGCGAGCGUUAUCCGGAUUUAUUGGGUUUAAAGGGUGCGUAGGCGGUUUAUUAAGUUAGUGGUUAAAUAUUUGAGCUAAACUCAAUUGUGCCAUUAAUACUGGUAAACUGGAGUACAGACGAGGUAGGCGGAAUAAGUUAAGUAGCGGUGAAAUGCAUAGAUAUAACUUAGAACUCCGAUAGCGAAGGCAGCUUACCAGACUGUAACUGACGCUGAUGCACGAGAGCGUGGGUAGCGAACAGGAUUAGAUACCCUGGUAGUCCACGCCGUAAACGAUGCUCACUGGUUCUGUGCGAUAUAUUGUACGGGAUUAAGCGAAAGUAUUAAGUGAGCCACCUGGGGAGUACGUCGGCAACGAUGAAACUCAAAGGAAUUGACGGGGGCCCGCACAAGCGGAGGAACAUGUGGUUUAAUUCGAUGAUACGCGAGGAACCUUACCUGGGUUUAAAUGGGAAAUGUCGUAUUUGGAAACAGAUAUUCUCUUCGGAGCGUUUUUCAAGGUGCUGCAUGGUUGUCGUCAGCUCGUGCCGUGAGGUGUCGGGUUAAGUCCCAUAACGAGCGCAACCCUUACCGUUAGUUGCUAGCAUGUAAUGAUGAGCACUCUAACGGGACUGCCACCGUAAGGUGUGAGGAAGGUGGGGAUGACGUCAAAUCAGCACGGCCCUUACACCCAGGGCUACACACGUGUUACAAUGGCCGGUACAGAGGGCCGCUACCAGGUGACUGGAUGCCAAUCUCAAAAGCCGGUCGUAGUUCGGAUUGGAGUCUGUAACCCGACUCCAUGAAGUUGGAUUCGCUAGUAAUCGCGCAUCAGCCAUG